CAAAUCCGAUACUCACUGCCUCCUACAUCACACUACUCCUAUAUCCAACUACGGUCGUUUCUGACCAAACACUACUGUAAAGAUGCUGGGCCCAAUUUGACCCCAGAAACCCCAACGGGGUGGGAGUUAAUGCUUAUUAAGGGACUACUACCCAUUACAUGUAAACCGAUCUCCAUGAGUUACAAGCUCCUGUCACGCCAUCUACCCUUUGCUGCCUCAAAAACAGCGCAAAUGUGGGAAGCGGACCUAAACUGCUCCCUCCUGAGCAAAGACUGGGAGCGCAUAUUCCGUUUGCCCAGGCUCCUGAUCAAAUCAGCCGCCCAUCUGGAGCAAAGCCAUAAAACAUUAUAUAGAUGGUACAUGGUACCGUGCAGGCUGCACAAACUAUUUCCG